rnacentral:tRNA from 1 species
AUUUAGAUAGCUUAUAUAUAGAGUGUAACAUUGAAGAUGUUAAGGAAGUUUAUUAACUUUUAAAUA